GACGAACGCUGGCGGCGCGCCUAACACAUGCAAGUCGAACGGAGUCAAGAGGAGCUUGCUUUUCUUGACUUAGUGGCGAACGGGUGAGUAACGCGUGAGUAACCUGCCCUGGAGUGGGGGACAACAGUUGGAAACGACUGCUAAUACCGCAUAAGCCCACGGAUCCGCAUGGAUCUGCGGGAAGAGGAUUUAUUCGCUUCAGGAUGGACUCGCGUCCAAUUAGCUAGUUGGUGAGGUAGCGGCCCACCAAGGCGACGAUUGGUAGCCGGACUGAGAGGUUGAACGGCCACAUUGGGACUGAGACACGGCCCAGACUCCUACGGGAGGCAGCAGUGGGGGAUAUUGCACAAUGGGGGAAACCCUGAUGCAGCGACGCCGCGUGGAGGAAGAAGGUUUUCGGAUUGUAAACUCCUGUCGUUAGGGACGAUAAUGACGGUACCUAACAAGAAAGCACCGGCUAACUACGUG
rnacentral:rRNA from 1 species